rnacentral:rRNA from 1 species
UACCAGCACCCCGAGUGGUCGGGACGAUUAUUGGGCCUAAAGCAUCCGUAGCCGGUUCUACAAGUCUUCCGUUAAAUCCACCUGCUUAACAGAUGGGCUGCGGAGGAUACUAUGGAGCUAGGAGGCGGGAGAGGCAAGCGGUACUUAGUGGGUAGGGGUAAAAUCCGUUGAUCCAUUGAAGACCACCAGUGGCGAAGGCGGCUUGCCAGAACGCACUCGACGGUGAGGGAUGGAAGCUGGGGGAGCGAACCGG